rnacentral:rRNA from 1 species
UGAGCAAUCUGCCCUUCUCUUUGGAAUAAGCGUUGGAAACGACGUCUAAUGCCGAAUACGACCUCCUUUCGCAUGAUCGGAGGUGGAAAGCUCCGGCGGAGAAGGAUGAGCUCGCGGCCUAUCAGCUAGUUGGUGUGGGUAAUGGCCCACCAAGGCGACGACGGGUAGCCGGCCUGAGAGGGUGACCGGCCACACGUGGGACUGAGACACCGGCCCAGACCUCCGUACGGGAGNAGCG